rnacentral:tRNA from 1 species
CGGGGGCGUGGCGAAAUUGGUAGACGCACUGGAUUUAGGUUCCAGCGCCGCAAGGUGUAAGAGUUCGAGUCUCUUCGCCCCCACC